AAACAAAGAGAUCAACACUAGUCAGCGAUAUUCGCCCACUAGUGCGAAACUG
rnacentral:sRNA from 1 species